rnacentral:lncRNA from 1 species
CAGUCACAGAGUAAAUAAACUAAGACUCAAAACUGGAAGUUAGGUUUGUGGAGUUCUGUCACAAUUAUGAUGACAAUAAUGACUCUGUCUUUUCUCCUACUACUCUCCUCUUCCCUGUCUCCUGUCCAGCCACGUUGCCUCCUGGCUGUUCCUGGAACACUCCAGGUGAUUCCAAAACUCCUCCUAGUUAAGAAACAAUGGAUCAAGCAUCCUCAUUUUACAGAUCGAGGAAACUGAGGCCCAGCAUGGUGCCAUGAUGACUCCAGAUCACUGAGGAAAAGACAGAAGCUGAUUGAGGUCCCAGCUUGGUAACAGUUUGAAGAGUUGCAGGACUGGCUGGAUGAGUACUGGCUGCAGCAAAUCAGGCUGCCAGGAUUCUUUAUGGCUGUUUCUGCUUCCACUACAGCUGAGUCAGAAAGGUCGCUGCCCCGUGGUGGCACUAGACGCAGUGGACCUGGCAAGCAAAUGUUUCCGCUAUUAGCUCUCAGCAACAGAGACUCAUUUAUGGUCACCUUGGAAAUCUGGGCUUAUCGAUCUACAGCCCAAGUCUGCUGAGAAGCUGGAGCUUACUAAAGGGGAAACCUGAGAGCUGUUCAAGCCCCAAAUAUUUUCCACUUCUGCGUCACCUCUGCUGUCUGUUAGCAGAGUGGAGGAGAAAAUACACAGCACAAACAACGUGAAAAAAUAGUUACUCUAUUCAUUAAAAGCUGUAACUUCCAGAUUGGACUUGAGAAGCAAUUAAGCAACAGAGGAACCUCAUCUACUAUCUGUAUUCAGGCAUGCUCAUGAGAACACGCUGCUCCAGCUGGACUUAGAGGAACCCGGUGCAUCACAGGCAUUCCUGACAGAGUCUCGUGGUCCUGCUGGUCCACUCAGUGGUACUCAGUCCUCCUCAUUCUCGGGGAUAGGUUCCAAGACCCCCAGGGGAUGCCUGAAACUGCGGAUGGUGAAAUGCCAUCACAUCCUUCAUACUCAUAUUUUUAGGACCAUAGGAGACCCAAUAUAUCUGUCUGUAUUGCAAUAAAUUACAAGGCUUUGACCAAAGACCCAGUUCCUAACUGACUGCUCUUGAAGCCAGCUCCACUGCAGAAUUAAGGAACAGAGAUGAGACUUGUCUGACAUGGGGAACUGUCACAGGAUAAUACCUUUGAAAAGCCUGGUUUUAGAACUUGCCUCUCUCAAUUUGAGGCAGUGUAUGUUUUUAAGUUUCUAAAAAUAAGAUAUUAUAAGAUUUGUAACAUUACAAUGACUGCCAAUGCAAAGAACCUCUGGGACUCUAGUGCAUCAGUGGAAUAUCAGCACAUUGAUGGACAUGUGGACUAUUUGGAUUCAGAAGACCUGGUUUGAGCUCAUCUCUGCUGCCAACUGUCUGUGUGACCUUAAGUAAAAUUAUCUCCUCUCUC